CACACCGCCCGUCGCUACUACCGAUUGAAUGGCUCAGUGAGGCGUCCGGACUGGCCCAGAGAGGUGGGCAACUACCACUCAGGGCCGGAAAGCUCUCCAAACUCGGUCAUUUAGAGGAAGUAAAAGUCGUAACAAGGUCUCCGUUGGUGAACCAGCGGAGGGAUCAUUA
rnacentral:rRNA from 3 species